UACAGGGGGGGCAAGCGUUGUUCGGAAUUACUGGGCGUAAAGGGCUCGUAGGCGGCCAACUAAGUCACACGUGAAAUCCCCAGCUUAACCUGGGAACUGCGUGUGAUACUGGAUGGCUUGAAUCCGGGAGAGGGAUGCAGAAUUCCAGGUGUAGCGGUGAAAUGCGUAGAUAUCUGGAGGAAUACCGGUGGCGAAGGCGGCAUCCUGGACCGGCAUUGACGCUGAUGAGCGAAAGCUAGGGGAGCAAACGGGG
rnacentral:rRNA from 1 species